rnacentral:pre_miRNA from 1 species
UAAUAAUAAUAAUGAUGAUGAUGAUGAUGAUGAUGAUGAUAAUCAUUAUUAUUAUUAUCAUCAUCAUCAUUAUCAUCAUCAUCAUCCUCA